AGAUAAUGAAGUAAAAUUUACAUUUAGUUUCGACCUAAAAUUAGGAUAAUUAUCCCUUAUCUA
rnacentral:tRNA from 1 species